CAGUCGUACCGGUGGGUAAUCAGCCUUUCGGCGAGAUUAUGUGGAGCGUGAGGAGUUAAACGCCCUCAUGCCUGCAUAUUCGUGUUCUUUGGGUGUACUUAUCCGCAUGGUAGGUUAACAUCAAUUUCGAACGUUAUAAAAUGGUUGGAGGAAUGUGGCUUCGAUCUCGUAUUGAAGUGUUAUAGCCUCCGGCAGAUGUGAUGAUCGGGAUUGAGGAUUGCAACGGAUACCCUUUGGGGCUACCCGUCUGAUCUCUGAAAGUUGCUCUGGUGCCGAAAGCUCGCUUACGGUCAUCAAAGUUGACGUUCAACAGGUUAGAACGGGAUAAA
rnacentral:rRNA from 1 species